rnacentral:rRNA from 1 species
AUUGAACGCUGGCGGAAUGCUUUACACAUGCAAGUCGAACGGCAGCACGGGGGCAACCCUGGUGGCGAGUGGCGAACGGGUGAGUAAUACAUCGGAACGUGCCCAUGUCGUGGGGGAUAACGUAGCGAAAGCUACGCUAAUACCGCAUACGAUCUACGGAUGAAAGCGGGGGAUCGCAAGACCUCGCGCGAUUGGAGCGGCCGAUGGCAGAUUAGGUAGUUGGUGGGGUAAAGGCUCACCAAGCCGACGAUCUGUAGCUGGUCUGAGAGGACGACCAGCCACACUGGGACUGAGACACGGCCCAGACUCCUACGGGAGGCAGCAGUGGGGAAUUUUGGACAAUGGGCGCAAGCCUGAUCCAGCCAUUCCGCGUGCAGGAUGAAGGCCCUCGGGUUGUAAACUGCUUUUGUACGGAACGAAAAGCCUUCUACUAAUACAGGAGGGUCAUGACGGUACCGUAAGAAUAAGCACCGGCUAACUACGUGCCAGCAGCCGCUGUAACAC